rnacentral:rRNA from 1 species
CCUACGGGUGGCAGCAGUAGGGAAUAUUGCUCAAUGGGGGAAACCCUGAAGCAGCAACGCCGCGUGGAGGAUGAAGGUUUUAGGAUUGUAAACUCCUUUUGUUAGAGAAGAUUAUGACGGUAUCUAACGAAUAAGCACCGGCUAACUCCGUGCCAGCAGCCGCGGUAAUACGGGGGGUGCAAGCGUUACUCGGAAUCACUGGGCGUAAAGAGUGCGUAGGCGGGCUGUUAAGUCAGCGGUAAAAGCCCGGGGCUCAACCCCGGCGAGCCGUUGAAACUGGCUGUCUUGAGAUGUCGAGAGGUAUGCGGAAUGCGCAGUGUAGCGGUGAAAUGCUUAGAUAUUGCGCAGAACUCCGAUUGCGAAGGCAGCAUACCGGCGGCGAUCUGACGCUGAGGCACGAAAGCGUGGGUAUCGAACAGGAUUAGAUACCCGGGUAGUC